rnacentral:rRNA from 1 species
ACUCAAAGGAAUUGACGGGGGCCCGCACAAGCGGUGGAGCAUGCGGUUUAAUUCGACGCAACGCGAAGAACCUUACCUACCCUUGACAUCCUCGGAAUCCGGCAGAGAUGCUGGAGUGCCUUCGGGAACCGAGUGACAGGUGCUGCAUGGCUGUCGUCAGCUCGUGUCGUGAGAUGUUGGGUUAAGUCCCGUAACGAGCGCAACCCCUAUCUUUAGUUGCCAGCGGGUCAUGCCGGGAACUCUAAAGAGACUGCCGGUGAUAAGCCGGAGGAAGGCGGGGACGAGGUCAAGUCAUCAUGGCCCUUACGGGUAGGGCUACACGCGUGCUACAAUGGACGGUACAAAGGGCAGCUAAGCCGCGAGGUGGAGCAAAUCUCUUAAAAGCCGUUCUUAGUCCGGAUUGGAGUCUGCAACUCGACUCCAUGAAGUUGGAAUCGCUAGUAAUCGCGGAUCAGAACGCCGCGGUGAAUACGUUCUCGGGCCUUGUACACACCGCCCGU